rnacentral:rRNA from 1 species
GAUGAACGCUGGCGGCGUGCCUAAUACAUGCAAGUCGAGCGAACGGACGAGAAGCUUGCUUCUCUGAUGUUAGCGGCGGACGGGUGAGUAACACGUGGAUAACCUACCUAUAAGACUGGGAUAACUUCGGGAAACCGUAGCUAAUACCGGAUAAUAUUUUGAACCGCAUGGUUCAAAAGUGAAAGACGGUCUUGCUGUCACUUAUAGAUGGAUCCGCGCUGCAUUAGCUAGUUGGUAAGGUAACGGCUUACCAAGGCAACGAUGCAUAGCCGACCUGAGAGGGCGAUCGCCCACCGUGAGAGGGAGCACGGCCCCAGCCUCCAGGGGGAGGCAGAAGUGGGGAUUCUUCCGAAGUGGGAGAAAGCCGUACGGCGCACUCCCGGGUGAGGAAAGAAGGUGUUCGGUUCGUAAAACUUUUUUAUGGGGGAAAAACAUAUGUGAAAUUAACUGUGCACAUCUUGACGGUACCUAAUAAGAAAGCCACGGCUAACUCCGUG